UGCAACUCGACUCCAUGAAGCUGGAUUCGCUAGUAAUCGCGCAUCAGCCAUGGCGCGGUGAAUACGUUCCCGGGCCUUGUACACACCGCCCGUCAAGCCAUGGGAGUCGGGAGUGCCUGAAGUUCGUGACCGUCACAGGAGCGACCUAAGGCAAGACCGAUGACUGGGGCGAAGUCGUAACAAGGUAAC
rnacentral:rRNA from 1 species